rnacentral:rRNA from 1 species
GACGAACGCUGGCGGCGUGCUUAACACAUGCCAGUCGAACGAUGAACCCGGAGCUUGCUCUGGGGGAUUAGUGGCGAACGGGUGAGUAACACGUGAGUAACCUGCCCUGGACUCUGGGAUAAGCGUUGGAAACGACGUCUAAUACCGGAUAGGACCUUGGAUCGCAUGAUCUGGGGUGGAAAGUUUUUUCGGUCUGGGAUGGACUCGCGGCCUAUCAGCUUGUUGGUGAGGUAAUGGCUCACCAAGGCGUCGACGGGUAGCCGGCCUGAGAGGGUGACCGGCCACACUGGGACUGAGACACGGCCCAGACUCCUACGGGAGGCAGCAGUGGGGAAUAUUGCACAAUGGGCGAAAGCCUGAUGCAGCAACGCCGCGUGCGGGAUGACGGCCUUCGGGUUGUAAACCGCUUUUAGUAGGGAAGAAGGGCUUCGGCUUGACGGUACCUGCAGAAAAAGGACCGGCUAACUACGU